GUCCACGCCCUAAACGAUGAUGACUAGUUGUUGGAGGAGUUAAAUCCUUUAGUAACGCAGCUAACGCGCGAAGUCAUCCGCCUGGGGAGUACGGUCGCAAGAUUAAAACUCAAAGGAAUUGACGGGGGCCCGCACAAGCGGUGGAUGAUGUGGUUUAAUUCGACGCAACGCUAAAACCUUACCUACCCUUGACAUGUACGGAACCUCAUAGAGAUGUGAGGGUGCCCGAAAGGGAGCCGUAACACAGGUGCUGCAUGGCUGUCGU
rnacentral:rRNA from 1 species